rnacentral:rRNA from 1 species
AUCAGUGGCGAACGGGUGAGUAACACGUGAGCAAUCUGCCCUUGACUCUGGGAUAACUGCGGGAAACUGUAGCUAAUACCGGAUAUGACCCAGGAAGGCAUCUUUUUGGGUGGAAAGAAUUUUGGUCAAGGAUGAGCUCGCGGCCUAUCAGCUAGUUGGUGAGGUAAUGGCUCACCAAGGCGACGACGGGUAGCCGGCCUGAGAGGGCGACCGGCCACACUGGGACUGAGACACGGCCCAGACUCCUACGGGAGGCAGCAGUGGGGAAUAUUGCACAAUGGGCGCAAGCCUGAUGCAGCAACGCCGCGUGAGGGACGAAGGCCUUCGGGUUGUAAACCUCUUUUAGUAGGGAAGAAGCGACUGGGUUUUCCUGGGAGUGACGGUACCUGCAGAAUAAGCACCGGCUAACUCCGUGCCAGCAGCCGCGGUAAUACGGAGGGUGCAAGCGUUGUCCGGAUUUAUUGGGUUUAAAGGGUGCGUAGGCGG